UUCGCAAUGCCCGAAAGGGUGAACGAGCGACGCCGCGUGCGGGAUGAAGGGUUUCGGCUUGUAAACCGCUUUUCUUUGGGAAGAAGGUCUGUCUCGUGAAGAUGGGCUCGACGGUACCAGAGGAAUAAGCCUCGGCUAACUCCGUGCCAGCAGCCGCGGUAAGACGGAGGAGGCGAACGUUAUUCGGAAUCACUGGGCUUAAAGCGCGUGUAGGCGGGUGGGAACGUCGGUCUUUGAAAGCCCCCGGCUCAACCGGGGAAGCGGAGCCGAAACGACCGAUCUGGAGGGACGUAGGGGGACCUGGAACUUCCGGUGGAGCGGUGAAAUGCGUUGAGAUCGGAAGGAACGCCCGUGGCGAAAGCGAGGUCCUGGACGUCUGCUGACGCUGAGACGCGAAAGCUAGGGGAGCAAACGGGAUUAGAUACCCCGGUAGUCCUAGCCGUAAACGAUGGGCACUAAGUAGAGGGGUUUU
rnacentral:rRNA from 1 species